UAGGGAAUCUUCCACAAUGGGCGCAAGCCUGAUGGAGCAACGCCGCGUGUGUGAUGAAGGGUUCCGGCUCGUAAAACACUGUUGUAAGAGAAGAAUGACAUUGAGAGUAACUGUUCAAUGUGUGACGGUAUCUUACCAGAAAGGAACGGCUAAAUACGUGCCAG
rnacentral:rRNA from 1 species